rnacentral:rRNA from 1 species
CAAUAGCGUAUAUUAAAGUUGUUGCGGUUAAAAGCUCGUAGUUGGAUUUCUGCAUGGAAGGAGCUGUCCGCCCUCCGGGUGAGUUACGGCCACCUUGUGUGCAUCUUCCUGAGGAGACGUUCUUCACUUAAUUGUGAGGGCGUAAGACUCAGGACUUUUACUUUGAGGAAAUGAGAGUGUUUCAAGCAGGCAAAUGCCUUGAAUACGUUAGCAUGGAAUAAUAGUAUCGGACCAUUGUCCAGCUGUUGGUGUCUGGGCGAAGGUAAAGGUGAAUAGGGAUUGUUGGGGGCAUUCGUAUUUAACUGUCAGAGGUGAAAUUCUUGGAUUUGUUGAAGACGGACUACUGCGAAAGCAUCUGCCAAAGAUGUUCUCAUUGAUCAAGAACGAAAGUUAGGUGAUCGAAGACGAUCAGAUACCAU